AGAUCUUUGUGGAAAUACACAGAGAAACUGGCAGAAAAUGAAUCCAUGGAGAUUUUGACAAGACCCCUCUAAGCAAGAUCUAAAGACAACAUCAGAUGGAGUUGUCUGUGGAUUAUGAGGAUGCAGCAUUCAAGGUUCUAUCUUGGAAGCAGAGACUGUGCCCUCACCAGAUGCUGAACCUGCUGAGCACCCUGAUCUUCCACUUCACCUUCAUCAGAACUACUGGGGCUGUGGCUGAGAUGUCACAUGGCAGAUAGGAUCACAAAUUUCUGUUGUAUCUGGAUGGAGAUCAGCAGGAGGAUCUAUGGGUGAGAAGAAGCACAGUUACAGAUGGAUUCUAGAGCCUGCUUGCUGACACAGGCUUGCAACUGCGGACUUUAUAAGCUUAGUUUUUAAUCUGCUAUCAGCUAGCAUAAUACCAUAAAUGCAUAAGAAACUAAGUAUUCAGUCUUACGAGAAAUGCUAUCUUGACCUGACCCUUUCUCCAAAUAAAUUGACAAAAUAUCUCAUCGUCUAGGAUGCCAGACAGAAAUACCAGUUGCAAUGUUUUGUUGCAUAAAGUUUAUCCUAAUUUAAAUUAGUGGCAUAUAAAGUCAUCAUCUUGCUUGAACAAACAUCUUAUUAAAUUGAGCAUGUCUUUUAUCCCAUGAAAUGAAAUUAAUUUUGAGAUAGUUAUUUUUCAGUUGGAAAUUUAUUGAGUUGAUAGAAAACAAGUUAUAUAGUCUUCCAAAGAAUAUGUUACAUCCAUUUGCAUUUUGUUUUUCUUCAGCAAUGUUUGGUUUUUAGAAAAUCUUACAAGUUAAAUAUACUAAUGUAGAAAUUGAAAGAAAAUAAUCAGAGAUAGAGCAAUAAAUUUGCAAAUAAAGAUUAUUCUUAAAACAAA
rnacentral:lncRNA from 1 species